rnacentral:rRNA from 1 species
ACUCGAGUGGCGGACGGGUGAGUAACACGUGGGUGAUCUGCCUUGCACUUCGGGAUAAGCCUGGGAAACUGGGUCUAAUACCGGAUAGGACCAUGCUUUAGUGUGUGUGGUGGAAAGUUUUUCGGUGCAAGAUGAGCCCGCGGCCUAUCAGCUUGUUGGUGGGGUAAUGGCCUACCAAGGCGACGACGGGUAGCCGGCCUGAGAGGGUGUACGGCCACAUUGGGACUGAGACACGGCCCAG